rnacentral:rRNA from 1 species
CGAAAGCCUGACGGAGCAAUGCCGCGUGGAGGAAGACGGCCCGUGGGUUGUACACUCCUUUUUUCAGAGAAGAAGAAGUGACGGUAUCUGAGGAAUAAGCAUCGGCUAACUCCGUGCCAGCAGCCGCGGUAAUACGGAGGAUGCAAGCGUUAUCCGGAAUCAUUGGGCGUAAAGCGUCUGUAGGUGGCUUUGUAAGUCCGCUGUGAAAGAGUACAGCUUAACUGUAACUAGGCAGUGGAAACUAUGAGGCUGGAGUGUGGUAGGGGUAGAGGGAAUUCCCGGUGUAGCGGUGAAAUGCGUAGAUAUCGGGAAGAACACCAACGGCGAAAGCACUCUGCUGGGCCAACACUGACACUGAGAGACGAAAGCUAGGGUAGCCAAUG